rnacentral:rRNA from 1 species
UACGAAGGGGGCUAGCGUUGCUCGGAAUUACUGGGCGUAAAGGGCGCGUAGGCGGACAGCUUAGUCAGAGGUGAAAGCCCAGGGCUCAACCUUGGAAUUGCCUUUGAUACUGGCUAUCUUGAGUUCGGGAGAGGUGAGUGGAAUGCCGAGUGUAGAGGUGAAAUUCGUAGAUAUUCGGCGGAACACCAGUGGCGAAGGCGACUCGCUGGCCCGAUACUGACGCUGAGGCGCGAAAGCGUGGGGAGCAAACAGG